CAAAUAUUUUCUUCGUCCGGAAAUACUUGUCAUCAAAAUGGAUAAAAAGAGAUGUAUCUAUAUAUAUUUUAGACUCAAAGAUAGAAAAUUUUAGUUGUAAAUACAUCAUUUUUUAUCCAUUUUGAUGAUAAGUAUUUUCGAACGGAGGAAGUAGUAA
rfam:Triticum aestivum genome assembly, contig: Triticum_aestivum_CS42_TGACv1_scaffold_288813_4AL